GACGAACGCUGGCGGCGUGCCUAACACAUGCAAGUCGUGCGGUCUCGCCUUAAGCGAAAGGCCUUCGGGCUUUGAAGCAAAGGCGAGAUAGCGGCGGACGGGUGAGUAACGCGUGGCUUAUCUGUCCCAGGGAGGGGGAUAACGUCUGGAAACGGGCGCUAAUACCCCAUAUGCCGAAAGGUAAAAAGGAGAAAUCCGCCCUGGGGUGAGGCCGCGUCCUAUCAGCUCGUUGGUGAGGUAACGGCCCACCAAGGCUAUGACGGGUAGCCGGCCUGAGAGGGCGGCUGGCCACACUGGGAUUGAGAUACGGCCCAGACUCCUACGGGAGGCAGCAGUGGGGAAUAUUGGGCAAUGGGGGAAACCCUGACCCAGCGACGCCGCGUGGAGGAAGGAGCCCUUCGGGGUGUAAACUCCUGUUGUAAGGGAAGAAGACAGUGACGGUACCCAAGGAGGAAGCCCCGGCUAACUACGUG
rnacentral:rRNA from 1 species